CAAGGAAACAGGAAGUGGCCCCUUUUCCCAUUCACCUCCUCCAGCAGCAGGAUGCGAUCCACCAACAAAGAGGGAUGCCAAAUUCUCUUCCAGAAACCCUGUCCUGCUUUUGCUCUUGGGUGUCUGUAUAAAGCAACUGAAAUUCUCAAAUUAACUGACAUUGAUAGCUGCAUCACAUCAUUUCCUUCUAAAUGCUGGACCUGAAAGGUAUGCCUCAUGACUGCCACCAAGAUAUGGCCAGCUACAGUUCCAGAACUCCAGGAACAGAAGCCAUUCUGUUACCAUGCCUGCCAUACUGCAAUAAGUACAAAGCCAUGAAGCAAUGUAAUUCCUUCCUCCAUUAAGUCAGGGAAGGAAUGACCCACAGAGCAAGACUCUCCAAGGACAAGACAUUCUAUUACACUUAGAGGAUGAGAACUUUGAAGUGAUGGAGAUGGAUGUCCUACACAAGAGGGGGGUCCUAGGAAUGUCAGUGUUGCAAUUCUGCAUCUAAAAUUAGAAGAGAAAAGAAUUAAAUUUUAAUGGCCAACCAUCACUAUGGAUCAAGAGCAGUAAGCAGAGCAGCCAAAGGGAUGGAAAAUAAAACAUCUUUUCUAAGACAAUGGUACUUGCUUAAACUAGUGAUGUUAUCCCAAUAAAAAUGAAUUUGAUUGAG